GGGAGAGGCGCCUAGUGUGGUUGGAGGAGCCCUGGAGAGGACGAGUGGCUGAACCCUGACUACCCUCCAGGUGGCUGGCUUUUUACCUGCUUGAUACAGAGUUUAGGUGCAUUCAUGAAGGACAGGGGGACCUGUUCUUAAGGAGCUGGGAGGCCAACACCAUGCCAAUGCUGUUGCCGCCAGGAAGACGGGUGAUAUCGCUUCUUUAGUUGAAGGGAUGGAAGACCAAACUGAUGGUUUCUGAAGUCCUCAACAAAAGGCAGUGAAACCUGCAUGCUACUACCCCCUACAUGGUUUGGUUAAAAGUGCUGCGACUCUCUCAACUUUUGAAAUAUUCAUAGAUCAGAAGGCAAUCUCAAUCGCUUAAAUGCUCCAAUAGCUCUCAACUCUCUCCACAAUCUUACCUUCUCGCAUCAUCUUACUUCAUAU
ensembl:lncRNA